UUCAGAAUCAAGAGGUCUACCAGCUUCAGUCUCAAUCUUCUUAGUAGCAGAGAUUAUAGGCAUCUGACUCCAGUUCAGGUUUCAUCAGAUUACAAAUGGGAUCCUUGUCACAAAAAAGCUGCUUUAGCUAAAGUCCUUUGGAAUCUCAGGAACAAAAUGCUCAGUUGCCAGUUAGAGGCUCAGAGGUCAUCACAUUCUCAAGGUGCCCCACACAGCAAUUUCAUCUGAGAGACAGAGAGACCCCCCCCCCACACACACACAGAGAGAGAGAGAGAGAGAGAGAGAGAGAGAGAGAUUUUGUCUUUGUUACCAGAAGUGGCUCAAUUUGAAAUAGGAGUACAUCAAAAUUGAUACAGUUCUGUGUUUAUCUCUCAAAAAGAAGAUGUUUUCCAUUUUAUAGGCAAUAUGUUUAUGCUGGCGAUGUGACCCUCAUCACAAGGCUGAUGUUUGUGGAUCUGAACCUUCAGGGACUCCACAGAGGGAUUGCUUUGUCAGUGUUCUCAGCUCAUCCUUUCCAUACAGAUGAAUUUAUAAGAAGCCUGUCACAAGAUCAUUGGGGCCAGCUCAUUUUCUGGGUCUUCCUUCCUGGAAUGAUUUGGGACCUGAGGGUAGUUAGAAAUCAG
rnacentral:lncRNA from 1 species